GGAGGGUGUAGCUCAGUGGUAGAGUGCAUGCCUAGCAUGCAUGAGGUCCUGGGUUCAAUCCCCAGUACUUCCA
rnacentral:tRNA from 1 species